UUACGGUCAAAUCACGCUGAAAACACCGGUUCUCGUUCGAUCACCGAAGUUAAGCAUCGUAGAGCCAGGUCAGUACUUAGAUGGGGACCGCUUGGGAACACCUGGUACUGUAAG
rnacentral:rRNA from 1 species